CUUCUAGAACCCCUUCCAAUUUUCACGUUGUUGGCCCUUCCGCUCUCCUCCCCGGCGACCGCUGGAGUUGAGUUGGACGGAGUGUCACGUCCCAGUUACGGUCUCAAUAAAGCAGAUUUGGAUUUGAUAUUUCCCCGGCGUCACUCCUUCGUUCUAGAUCUGGCAUGCAGCGGUGCAGGCCGUUGGAGAAGGAGACAUGGAGGUGGUUGCUGCCGUAUCCAAGUUUGACCUCGACGCGGGCGCGAAGACCCGGUUGGCCAUGGGGCACGCGGAUCGGGAUGACAAGGUUCGGCGGCUCCGGGCGCUCAGACAUGGGCACCGGUCGCUCUUGCUGCGCGCACGCUCCGAUGUUCAAGUUGUUGUCCUCCGUCUUGUCUGGUAGCACGGCUGGUGCGGGACGAAGGAAUACGACAGCCUUCUGGCGGGUCGCUCAUCCAGUACAACACCCCGCCGACGCAGGCGAGCAGCGUGUCGUCCGCCACUGGCAGGGGCGGCGGCGGCACCGCGUACUCCCGGGAGUGGUACCUGAAGUCAUCGCACUGCAGCACCGCGCACAACUGCACACCGCGAAGUACUCGCGAGCAGGGCCGGUCCUGAGGGCACUCCGCGCGCGCAGUCUCCUCGGCCUCUACUCCUUCUCUUCCCCGAGAUUGGCGGAAAAUCAGGCAGGCUUUUCUGAUUGUUCAUUUGUUCGUGAAGGCAAGGUCUUGCGUGAAGGUCAUCCUCCUACAUCGCUGUGUCAAGCACUCUGAUUGCUCGUGUUGAUUGGAGUUAGAAAAGAGGAACCCAGAUUUUUGUCCGUGAACUGUAAGCAGCAACAAGAUCUUGCAAUUUCUAAUUUUCUUUUCUAGCCAUCUACGUGAUUCAGGUGCCUGGUUCCAUGCCCUCCUUUGCAUUUUUUUAGUUUAAUCAGCAGCGUUUUUAGUUUCUUCUAUCAUAUGUUUGUGUGCUAAUUCCAUGCCUUGCUCCAGUAACUAACAAGACUGCUCUUAAUUUACCAAGAUGUCAUCUAGAAUGUAUCCAUCUGCUAAUGACUUGAUGGAGUCAUAGAAAUGAACUAUUGACACUUUUCUAGAACAGAUGCAACUGCUUAUAAUUCUGAAUAAUUAGCUUUAGUUACUGUUAAAAACAACCUGUGAAAAAUUAAGGAUGAUAAUAACUUGAGUGGGUACGAAAGUGUACCGAAUUUACCUAAUAUUCCGCAUAUAAGUGUUGAUGGACAAGAACGAACAACUUUUACCUUCAAUGUUCAUGAUCUCGUUUUUUCGUACUCUAGAUCAGAAUGCAACAUAGAUUAUAGUGUACUGACUUUUUUUUUGCAAAAAAUAGUAAUAUGAAUACUCAAUGCAACAUAGAUUAUAGUGUACUGAGUUUUUUUUUUGCAAAAAAUAGUAAUAUGAAUACUCAUAUGUUUAUGUGGUGUCAGGGCCCCUCUGUGUUAUCUUGCCCCGGGCCCCCGAAAUUUCUUGACCGGCCCUGCUCACGAGAGCCGAAAUCCCUGGAGGCUGGAGUGGUAGAUGAUCUAACGCGACAGUGGGUCGAAAGUGAGGUAGACGCUCGUGCCGCCGGUCGAACGCGUGCUGCCGGUCGGCUCCUUGUGUCCUCCAGUGGCUUCCAUUGAGGUAGGCUUUGUGGAGGCAUGUGUAUGGGUUGUAGUCUGUAGAGUUAGUCGUGCGUCGGUGCUCACCAGGUUCAUCCUGUGGCAUUUCUUGGAGGAGAUGCGGUCGACAUGUAUGCUGGGAGCACGCUAAUGGGGGCACCUAAAGUGUUCGACGGAAUGGCUAUCACAUUGGUGCUUUCCCAUCUCACCUCACCACCACGUGAGCAAAACCACCUACCAGAGCAUCGGGGUUGAUUUGUCUGGUUUUAGAAAGUAGAGGGGAUUAAGAUCCCUGUUUUAGAGGUCAGGGCCUCAGGGGGGCUAUGUGGCCAAAAUGUAAUACUUAUGGGGUCAUAUACACCUUUUUUUCUUAAAUCUAAUAGGUUUCUUCCUCAGUGAUAUCCCAAAUUAUCCCACCAAGAAAGAUGGCCGCGUCGUCCUGGCCUGCGCUCCCGGCCACCCGGCGGGAUGUCCAGGCUGUCGUUGCCAAGGACGUGGAGCUGCACUCGCCUCCAUUGGUGCACCGUGCCCAAUGUCAGUGCUGGUGUGUACGCACAUAUAUUUCAUCCCCAAUAUUGCUUAUUUGAUCAACUUCGGGUCUGCAAUAGUUUAAUCAGCUCUUUUUAGAGAUAUAGACUAAUCAAUACAGUAGCUUAAUAACUUGUAAUCACUAGGGCCAAUUAGCUGAUGGGAGACAGGGAGAACGAUGGUUGAAGAGGCUUAGGCAGUCUGCUGACAAGGAAAUGCAAUAGUGAUUUCGCAAGAGAAAUGGAGGUGAUGGCUAGGCUCGGGCACGACAAUGUUGUCCGCCUCCUUGCUUACUUCAGUGAAUGCGAUGAGCGGAUACUCAUCUAUAGCUAUAUGUCGAACAACAGCAUGGAUCUCUGCUUAUACUUCUAUAUUUUUUCUUGCCUAUGCUCAGAAUUUGGAUCACAAUAGUAAAUAGAUCAUUAGGUUCUCUUCUAUAAUUGUUGGUUGUUGUUGUUGUGUGCUCCAACACAUAUGAGCAGCUCAUUGUUGCACGGAGAAAAGUUUCAUGCACAUAAUUAAAGUUCCGGAUAAUCGAAGUACAAAUCUGUAAAUACCUUUAGAGGAAGCUUGUAUGCUUGACAUGCUUGACCAUGUAAAAGCUCAUGCAUGAGUAAUUAUAUCGUCAGGUUAUUCUUUUUAUCUGCAAGGUGAGCUUCAAAAUUCUGUAAACUAGCGUUUCCAAUAGUUCAGAGCUGCCACUUUACUUUCAGUAUUUAGGUGGAUGAUCUCUGUUUAAAUUCCUAAUACAAGUAAUGCACUCCGGCAAGUUCUAUUUAUUUGUGUCCUUGCUGCCAAUAGAUGUAAUUUCAUCACGAGCACCCAAGUACAGCAGCACUAUUGUCGUUCAUUAUUGUUGGCUUAUGCCCUAGAGAUAAAAUAAUUAGCAUUUGCCUCUGUGUGCCGGACUGUAGUGGUACCAUAUGCCUAUUGUAUCAUUUUCAUCCUUGAUAGAUGCAGCGAGUAAAUUGUCACUGAAAAAUGUUGUGGUUGCAGCGUUUGUUUUGUUAAUUCUGCAUUCCUUCCUUUAUGAGAAAAGUGUUACUUCUGCGUUAGUUAUAUGUUAUGUUUCUCUAUGUCCAUUGCUUGUAUUGACUUCAGAUUGUGCAUAUGUGGAGAAGCAUGUCUGCUCCCAGUGGAGAGGACUUUCAGAAAGACAACUAGGCACUUGCUUUAGCAUUGACGAUUACUAUUUUUGUAAAAAUAUUCAUACGUGUGUUUGAAUUGUUUUUAAUAGCUGUCUUUAUUACUCUCUGAUUGAAAAAAAAUCGGAGGCUGCCUACAGCAAGUCUCUUUGUCAUCAGCGCCUUUCUUUGCUUGGUAGCUCCACAUCCAAUCUUUCAAGCUACAUCCAGAUGAAGAAAAAAAAAUGGCACAUCUUUAUGAGCGCAGGGAGUUUCCCUACCCUGGUGAUGAAGAGGCAGUUGAGGAGUUCAUAAAAAGUGGGGGUGCUCUAGGUACCACGAUCGGGCCCAAAGGUUUUGCGGAUACAAACGUGGACUCUGAUAACAUGCAGAAGCAACUGCAGUCGAAAAAGUUCGACCAGGAGGCACAAAAGCUCUGGUUCCGAAUGAGGAAUGAGGUUGCACAUGAACUACAAGAGAAGGGAUUUGAUGUUGAAUGAAGUUUUAUUCUUAUAAAGGAG